AAACCAUAUACAGUAUGCCUUCUUCUACAGUCAUGGACAAAAAAUAAUUUGACCACCUCACCCUUGUUUUCUUCAAUUUCUUGUUCAUUUCUAUGCCUAGUACCACAAAAGGUAUAUUACCCGAAGAAUACAAUAAACAUGACAAAAAUGCAGCUGAUUACAUAGCAGUUUCUGUCCUACUUGACAUGCUUAAACUUAAUUGUAUUCCCAGGGUAUAUAAGAGGUCAUUUCAUGGCAUAAGCAGCACUGCACAUGCAAAGGCCUAGAGUGGUUUUCUGCUUAAAUUCAAGCCGUGGCACAACUCAGAAGUUGUCAGCUCUCACAUAAUGCCUAAAACAAAAGAACUAGUGAAGCCACAAAGGCAGCCAUGUUGGCACUGCUGGAAAUUGGCAUGAGUGAGAGGCAGGUAGCAACAAAACUGAAGAUCUCCAAGACAGCCGUUCAUUACACCAAGAAAAAACAAGCUGAACAUGGCACUACCAAAUUGCUAGCUGGUCACGGCAGGAAACGUCUUUCUACCCCAUGAGAUGACCGUGCACUCAUCCCUUCCUCUGUCAAGAAUCAUCGACGGAGCUCCAGGGACCUUAAAAAUGAGUGGGUACUGUCGAGAAAUGUGACUUGUUUGACAAGGACAGUUGGAAACCGACUUCUUGAAGAUUGUCUGAAGUCACAUAGGGCAAGGAAGAAGCCCUUCAUCAAUGAAAGGCAGAGGAAAGCCUGGUUACUCUUUGCUGGGGAUCACAAAGAUUGGACUGUUGAAGAUUGGGCUAUGGUUCUCUUCAGUGAUGAGUCCAAUUAUCAGUUGAUACCCACUCCAGUCAACUUUCUGGUUAAGAGGAAGCCUGGAGAAGCCUACAAACUAGACUGUCUUGCUCCUACAAUAAAACAUGGGGGUAGAUCAGUGACGAUCUGGGGUUGUUUCAGUGUGGAUGGAACAGGGCAAAUGCAAUGGUGUGAAAGGUGAAGGUCCAGGGCUACAGGGCUGCUCUUGAAAGCAGUCUUCUUCCAUUAGCUGGAAAACUCUUUACUGCCUCCAAUGGCUGGAUUUUCCAACAAGACAAUGCCCCUUGCCACAUGGCAAGGUCAUUUAAAGUGUGAAUGGAGAACCAGAACAUUUUAACCAUGCCUUGGUCUGCUCAAUCACCGGAUCUAAAUCAAAUUGAAAACCUGUGGAAAAUCAUCAAAUGCAAAAUGGAGACCCACAAGCCCAAAAAACGAAGCAAAGUUGUUUGAAUUUGUGCAACAGGAAUGGGCUGCUGUGACAGCAGAACGAUGUCAGAAGCUGGUGGAGAGCAUGCCAAGACACAUGGCUGCAGUCAUCAAAAACAAUGGUUAUAUAAUCAAGUACUAUCUCCUGUGUGUAUCAUGUGACUAAAACAGACAGAAAAGAAAACAUGAAAUCCCUAAAAGCACUGUUUUUGGCAGUACAAUGCCAUAGCUACUGAUGGAAGAACUUAAGUGAUUUUGGUUAUUAUCAAGAAAAUAAUGGAAAAUAGCUAGAUAUCAACUCUUAAAUUAAACUCUUAUGAACGCUUUUGUUGUUAUCAUAUUUGUCCAAACAAAUGUACCUUUAUUUGUACCUGGCAUGAAAAUGAACAGGAAAUUGAAGAAAACAAGGGUAGACUAAUAAUUUUUUCCAUGACUGUAAAAUAAGUUAUUUGGAGAUGAUUUAGUAUUAUUAGUGUGGAAGUUAUGUCAUAUUACACUUAGGCUCACAAAAUUUAACUUACCGUAAAGCUAAUCCUUUUUUUCUUUUUUUCAUUUUAUGUUGCGGGCUGUCCCCUGCCUUCACCCUAAGUCAGAGGGGAUAGGCUCCAGACCCCCGCAACCCUAAUGCUAAUGAGGAUUAAGUGGUGUAUAGAUAAUGGAUGGAUGUUUUAUGCUGACAAAACAUCAAACAGCUGUAUGUAGUGCAAAAGAAGAUGCUCCCAGCGAGCAUCUUUUCAGAUACUAGUCACCCAGAGUUCCAUUCAUUUUUAGUGUCUUUCAGCUCUGUGAGUUUUGUACAUGUAUCACUUUAUAGGUAGCAAUAAAGCGUUUUAUAUUCUAUCUGCAUGGCAACAUUCAGUGUUUUUUGGGGGUUAUUUUUUUGGCCAUAUUUGACAGGUUAAGUUGAGAGGCAAUUAGAGGAAAGUAGGGGAGAGAAAUGGGGUGAAGACCUGCAGCAAAGGGCGUGAGCUGAAAUCAAACCCAGGCUGCUGCGUGGGGGGCUAUAGCCCCUGUUUAUGGGCCACCCACUCAACCAGUUGGGCUAUCUGGGCGCUCUCAUUCAGUGGUUUUAAUAAUGUGCAGCUCUACAGAUUUGCAGAUGUAACGUAUUUUCCUCAGCUGAGAAUCUGUAAAAUUCAUAGAGAAUAAUCAGGAGACUAUUUGGUUAAAGUGAGACAUUUCUUACAGCUGAUUUAACAUAAAAUGCUCCAGAUCAGGUUAACUUGAGAGCACAAGUUACCACGGUGAUCUAGCUGGUUUAAACAGAGCUAAAAGCUCUGACUUUAGCUCAACAUACCUCACUAACCCAAUAGUCUUGCUUUGUGGUACAGCCCCCUGGUUACCUUCAUAAUGUAAAGAUCUGCAUGUCAUUUUUGUUGCUCCAAUCUAUUAAUUCAUAGUGCCUGACUUAGCACCGAUUCUUUGUGUUUCCAUCAGCUGAGCACCGGCUCCAGGCUCCAAAAACUGGUGUAUUCAGGCACCAGCUCUUUGCUGGGCCAAAGUUGAGAACUGAGUACGUCACGGGCUGGGGGUGGGUUUACGGUGACCGACGAUCAACGGUGAAAACACAGAACCACCAUUUUUAAACAGCCGAGCAAGUAGUAGUAGUAGUGUUUAGUGUUUGUGUUUUGAAAACCAGUAAAUAUAGACGCCAUAUCCAAGCAGCAGUGGUCUGAGGAGGUGACCCAAUGCUUCCUAGCACUGUGAUUGGCAUAUGAAAUUCAGUCGAAGUUAGAGGGAGCCUCUCGGACCACGCUGGUGUUCGAAACGAUUCAGCAGGAGACGGCUGCAGCCGGUACAAGCGGAACCUCGACUAACUCCUCAACAAACUUAAAAAGUGCAAAAAUGACUACACGGACCAGAAAAGGGAGGUGGAACGCAGCAAUUGUCGGCCAAAAAGAGCCCCUAUUUUGACCGGCUGAAUUCCGUGAAUUCCAACCAGGGUCCUAAACGCCACAGCCGUGCUGGAGUUGAUGCAGUCCACCGUACAGACCACCGAUCCUGAUUCUGUUGUUGACCUUGGAUGAUGAGGUCCAGUUGCCAGGACCGCUACUCUGCAGCUCACCGGUCCCAUCCUGUAGCUCAUCCACGCCAUUCUCCUCUCUACAGACCAAAUCAAGAAAAGAGAAGUGGGAUGCUGCUGU